GUUGAUAGUUAUAAAGACAUUCAGUGACUCAUGGACAGUAUAGAGGUUGAUAGUUAUAAAGACAUUCAGUGACUCAUGGACAGUAUAGAGGUUGAUACUUGACAUAAGAAGAAGGAACGAGAGAUAGUGAGUUGAGUGUGCUGCUGAAGAGGAAGUGGUUUUCUGUGUCUUUGUGUGGCAUGUAUGUACGUGUGACCUCAUGGUACAGUGAGCUCCCAAAAGUAUUGGGACAGUGACACGUGUAGUUUUUUUGGGGGCUCUUUUGUACUCCAGCAGGUUUUGAAAUUAUACAUGUGACUGUGAGGUUAAUGUGCAGACUGUCAGCUUUAAUUGGAGUGUAUUCUCAAUCAUAUCGGGUGAACCGUUUAGAAAUGACAGCAAUUUGUGUAUGUAGUCUCCACAUUUUAAGAGUAUUGGUACAAAUUCUCUUAUGUGUACUGAAGUUUACUAUUUGGUCCUAUAUUCCUAGCACGCAUUGAUUACAUCAGGCUUGUGACUUUACAAACUUGUUGGAUGCAUCUGCUGUUUGUUCUGGUUGUGUUCCUGAUUAUUUUGUGACCAAUAGAAAUUAAUUGUAAAUAAUGUAUUGUGUCACUUUUAUGUCACUUUUCACUUUUAUUGUAAAUAAGAAUAGAAUAUGUUUCUAAACACUUCUACAUUAAUGUGGAUGAUACCAUGAUUAUGGAUAACUCUGAAUGAAUCAGGAAUAACGAUGAGUGUGAAAGUUACAAACGCACGAAUAUCAUACCCCCAAGGCAUGCUAACCUCUCCCCAUUACAAUAACAGUGGAGGUUAGCAUUUUAUAUCAUACCUCCAAGACAUGCUAACCUCCCCACAUUACAAUAACAGGGGAGGUUAGCAUUUUAUAUCAUAACCCCAAGACAUGCUAACCUCUCACCAUUACAAUAACAGGGGAGGUUAGCAUGAGUUGGGGGUCCCUCCCACCAUAAUUUAUGCCUCUGUAACUUUCUUACUCAUCAUUAUUCAUGAUUAAUUCAGGAUUAUCCAUAAUCAUGGUAGCAUCCACGUGAAUGAAAUAGUGUUUGGAAACAUUGCACUUUGACCUCAUAGUGACUGUAUGAUUUCAAAUCCAAAGUGCUGGAGGACUAUAAGUGUUACAUCAUAAACACUCCCCAAUCACAUGGGACAUCAACAGGUGAAAUGUCUUGUAGUCCUAUCAAAUGGAGGACUAUACAUGUUACAUCAUAAACACUCCCCAAUCACUUGGGACAUCAACAGGUGAAAUGUCUUGUAGUCCUAUCAAAUGGAGGACUAUAAGUGUUACAUCAUAAACACUCCCCAAUCACAUGGGACAACAACAGGUGAAAUGUCUUGUAGUCCUAUCAAAUAUUUGUCAAUGAUUUUCUUUGAAUAUACUGUAUAUUUGGUACAGUGGAAUGAGCCAACCAUUCCAGUAUAGAAUAUGAAAAUAUCUUGGGGCUUCUGUCCCAACCAUUCCAGUAUAGAAAAUGAAAAUAUCUUGGGGCUUCUGUCCCAACCAUUCCAGUAUAGAAUAUGAAAAUAUCUUGGGGCUUCUGUCCCAACCAUUCCAGUACAGAAUAGGAAAAUAUCUUGGGGCUUCUGUCCCAACCAUUCCAGUAUAGAAUAUGAAAAUAUCUUGGGGCUUCUGUCCCAACCAUUCCAGUAUAGAAUAUGAAAAUAUCUUGGGGCUUCUGUCCCAACCAUUCCAGUAUAGAAUAUUAAAAUAUCUUGGGGCUUUACACUCCCAUGAUUAGCAUUAGGUUUACACACCCACGAUUAGCAUUAGGUUUGCACUCCCACGAUUAGCAUUAGGUUUACACACCCACAAUUAGCAUUAGGUUUACACUCCCACGAUUAACAUUAGGUUUACACUCCCAUGAUUAGCAUUAGGUUUACACACCCAUGAAUAGCAUAAGGUUUACACACCCACGAUUAGCAUUAGGUUUACACACGAUUUAGUAAUGAUAGAAAGCAUGUUUCCCUAUUUAGAUUUCUUGUUUACACAAAAAAAACAUGUGUACUGUAAAGUAUAUUAGUUUAGUAUUUGCAAAAAAAAAUUACCAGCGCAACUCCCUCAAUACUUUCAGGAAUUCUAAUAAAACAAUUUAUGCAGUCAUUGAGCAUUUUAUAUGUUCUUUCAAGUCAUUAUCACUUACUGCCACGGAAAUAUGAUUUUUACAAUUCACCCAAGAUAAAGUACAAAUAUAGAGAAAAUCUGUCCUACUGAAAAUACUGGUAUGCUUGUACUUGAACUAACACUUUCUGGUCACUGUGUAAAACGGGUACACUUACAAAUAUAUAUAUAUUUGGAUGGAGCAAAAAAAACAUAACAAAAUAUAGGCGUUCCCAGGCCAUCCUCUUAGACACAUCAGCAUUCCCAGGUCAUCCUCUUAGACACAUCAGCAUUCCCAGGUCAUCCUCUUAGACACAUCAGCAUUCCCAGGUCAUCCUCUUAGACACAUCAGCAUUCCCAGGCCAUCCUCUUAGACACAUCAGCAUUCCCAGGUCAUCCUCUUAGACAUAUCAGCGUCCAUAGGUCAUCCUCUUAGACAUAUCAGCAUUCCCAGGUCAUCCUCGUAGACAUAUCAGCGUCCAUAGGUCAUCCUCUUAGACAUAUCAGCAUCCAUAGGUCAUUAUCUUAGACAUAUCUGCGUUCCCAGGCCAUCCUCUUAGACAUAUCAGCGUUCCCAGGUGAUCAUCUUAGACAUAUCUGCAUUCCCAGGUCAUCCUCUUAGACAUAUCAGUGUUCCCAGGUCAUCCUUCCACUUAGACAUAUCUGCAUUCCUUGGGCAUCCUCUUAUACAUAUCUGCAUUCCAAGUCAUCAGCCCAGACAUAUCAGUGUUCCCAGGUCAUCCUCGUAGACAUAUCUCUGUUCCCAUGUCAUCAAUCCUGUAAGACAUAUCAUAAUUCCCAGGUCAUCAACUUAGACAUAUCAGCGUUCCCAGGUCAUCCUCUUAGACAUUUCUGCGUUCCAAGUCAUCAGCUCAGACAUAUCAGUGUUCCCAGGUCAUUCUUCCUCUUAGACAUAUCAGUGUUCCCAGGUCAUCCUCUUAGACAUAUCAGCGUCCCUAGGUCAUCCUCUUAGACAUAUCAGCAUCCCUAGGUCAUCCUCUUAGACAUAUCAGCAUCCAUAGGUCAUCCUCUUAGACAUAUCAGCGUCCCUAGGUCAUCCUCUUAGACAUAUCAGCAUCCCUAGGUCAUCCUCUUAGACAUAUCAGCAUCCCUAGGUCAUCCUCUUAGACAUAUCAGCAUCCCUAGGUCAUCCACUCAGACAUAUCUGUGUUCCCAGGUCAUCCUCUCAGACAUAUCUGUGUUCCCAGGUCAUUCAUCCUCUUAGUCAUAUCAGCAUUCCCAAGUCAUACACUUAAACAAAUCAGCGUUCGCAGGUCAUCCAUCCUCUCAGGCAUAUCAGCAUUCCCAGGUCAUCCUCUUAGACAUAUCAGCAUUUCCAGGUCAUCGUCAUAGAUAUAUCUGCAUUCCCAGGUCAUUCAUCCUCUCAGGCAUAUCAGAGUUCCCAUGUCAUCUUCUUAGACAUUUCAGAGUUCCCAGGUCAUCUUCUUAGACAUUUCAGAGUUCCCAGGUCAUCUUCUUAGACAUUUCAGAGUUCCCAGGUCAUCUUCUUAGACAUUUCAGAGUUCCCAGGUCAUCAUCUCAGACAUAUCAGCGUUCCCAGGUCUUCAUCUUAGACAUAUCUGCAUUCCUUGGGCAUCCUCUUAGACAUAUCAGCAUUCCCAGGUCAUCCUCUUAGACAUAUCAGUGUUCCCAGGUCAUCCUUCCUCUUAGACAUAUCAGUGUUCCCAGAUCAUCCUCUAAGACAUACCAGCAUUCCCAGGUCAUCCUCUAUGACAUAUCAGUAUUCCCAGGUCAUCCUCCUUGACAUACCUGCAUUCCUUGGACAUCCUCUUAGACAUUUCUGCGUUCCAAGUCAUCAGCUCAGACAUAUCAGUGUUCCCAGGUCAUCCUUCCUCUUAGACAUAUCAGUGUUCCCAGGUCAUCCUCUUAGACAUAUCAGUGUUCCCAGGUUAUCCUCUUAGACAUAUCAGUGUUCCCAGGUUAUCCUCUUAGACAUAUCAGUGUUCCCAGGUCAUCCUUGUAGACAUAUCAGUGUUCCCAGGUCAUCCCCGUAGAUGUAUCAGCGUUCCCAGGUCAUCCACUUAGACAUAUCUGCAUUCCUUGGGCAUCCUAUUAGACAUAUCUGCGUUCCAAGUCAUCAGCUCAGACAUAUCAGUGUUCCCAGGUCAUCCUCGUAGACAUAUCUCUGUUCCCAUGUCAUCAAUCCUGUAAGACAUAUCAUAAUUCCCCGGUCAUCAACUUAGACAUUUCUGCGUUCCAAGUCAUCAGCUCAGACAUAUCAGUGUUCCCAGUUCAUCCUUCCUCUUAGACAUAUCAGUGUUCCCAGGACAUCCUCUAAGAUAUAUCAGCGUUCCCAGGUCAUCCUCUUAGACAUAUCAGUGUUCCCAGGACAUCCUCUAAGACAUAUCAGCAUUCCCAGGUCAUCCUCUCAGACAUAUCAUCAUUCCCAGGUCAUCCUCUCAGACAUAUCAGCAUUCCCAGGUCAUCCUCUCAGACAUAUCAGCAUUCCCAGGUCAUCCUCUCAGACAUAUCAGCGUCCCUAGGUCAUCCUCUCAGACAUAUCUGCGUUCCCAGGUCAUCAGCUCAGACAUAUCAGUGUUCCCAGGUCAUCAAUCCUGUAAGACAUAUCAUAAUUCCCAGGUCAUCAACUUAGACAUAUCUGCCUUCCCAGGUCAUUUCCCUCUCAGACAUAUCAGCGAUCCCAGGUCAUCCUCUCAGACAUAUCAGGGUUCCCAGGUCAUCCUCUUAGACAUAUCAGCAUUCCCGGGUCAUCCUCUUAGACAUAUCAGCGUUCCCAGGUCAUCCUCUCAGACAUAUCAGCGUUCCCAGGUCAUCCUCUUAGACAUACCAGCGUUCCCAGGUCAUCCUCUUAGACAUAUCAGCGUUCCCAGGUCAUCCUCUCAGACAUAUCAGCAUUCCCAGGUCAUCCUCUCAGACAUAUCAGCAUCCCUAGGUCAUCCUCUCAGACAUAUCUGCGUUCCCAGGUCAUCAUCUCAGACAUAUCAGCGUUCCCAGGUCUUCAUCUUAGACAUAUCUGCAUUCCUUGGGCAUCCUCUUAGACAUAUCAGCAUUCCCAGGUCAUCCUCUUAGACAUAUCAGUGUUCCCAGGUCAUCCUUCCUCUUAGACAUAUCAGUGUUCCCAGAUCAUCCUCUAAGACAUACCAGCAUUCCCAGGUCAUCCUCUAUGACAUAUCAGUAUUCCCAGGUCAUCCUCCUUGACAUACCUGCAUUCCUUGGACAUCCUCUUAGACAUUUCUGCGUUCCAAGUCAUCAGCUCAGACAUAUCAGUGUUCCCAGGUCUUCCUUCCUCUUAGACAUAUCAGUGUUCCCAGGUCAUCCUCUUAGACAUAUCAGUGUUCCCAGGUUAUCCUCUUAGACAUAUCAGUGUUCCCAGGUCAUCCUCUUAGACAUAUCAGUGUUCCCAGGACAUCCUCUAAGACAUAUCAGCAUUCCCAGGUCAUCCUCUCAGACAUAUCAUCAUUCCCAGGUCAUCCUCUCAGACAUAUCAGCAUUCCCAGGUCAUCCUCUCAGACAUAUCAGCAUUCCCAGGUCAUCCUCUCAGACAUAUCAGCGUCCCUAGGUCAUCCUCUCAGACAUAUCUGCGUUCCCAGGUCAUCAGCUCAGACAUAUCAGUGUUCCCAGGUCAUCAAUCCUGUAAGACAUAUCAUAAUUCCCAGGUCAUCAACUUAGACAUAUCUGCCUUCCCAGGUCAUUUCCCUCUCAGACAUAUCAGCGAUCCCAGGUCAUCCUCUCAGACAUAUCAGGGUUCCCAGGUCAUCCUCUUAGACAUAUCAGCAUUCCCGGGUCAUCCUCUUAGACAUAUCAGCGUUCCCAGGUCAUCCUCUCAGACAUAUCAGCGUUCCCAGGUCAUCCUCUUAGACAUACCAGCGUUCCCAGGUCAUCCUCUUAGACAUAUCAGCGUUCCCAGGUCAUCCUCUCAGACAUAUCAGCAUUCCCAGGUCAUCCUCUCAGACAUAUCAGCAUCCCUAGGUCAUCCUCUCAGACAUAUCUGCGUUCCCAGGUCAUCCUCUUAGACAUUGAUGGUACUUGAGAGGAAUGAAUUUACAUGGUUGAGGACAGAAUUGUUGGGAUUAAACUACAAUGACAAUGAAGAUUCCUACUGAUGCUACUUUUGCUAUUGUUGGUGUGGUGUAACAGCUACUACUAUUACUGUUAACAAUUGUUUUGGGCUGUUUGUACUACUGUUUGAAUCAAAUCAAAUGUAUUUACAAAGCCCUUCUUACAUCAGCUGAUAUCUCAAAGUGCUGUACAGAAACCCAGCCUAAAACCCCAAACAGCAAGCAAUGCAGGUGUAGCAGCACGGUGGCUAGGAAAAACUCCCUAGAAAGGCCAAAACCUAGGAAGAAACCUAGAGAGGAACCAGGCUAUGAAGGGUGACCAGUCCUCUUCUGGCUGUGCCGGGUGGAGAUUAGAAACCCAGAGAGGAACCAGGCUAUGUGGGGUGGCCAGUCCUCUUCUGGCUGUGCUGGGUGGAGAUUAGAACAGAACAUGGCCAAGAUGAUCAAAUGCGCCAAGAUGAUUGAAGAUGCGACUGUUUGUUUAUUUUGUGUGGGGCGAGCCAUUGGAACUGCAGUACUAUGGACGUCUGGUUUGAUCUAACAGUUACUAACUUUGCUAA
ensembl:lncRNA